rnacentral:rRNA from 1 species
UACAGGGGGUGCAAACGUUGCUCGGAAUUAUUGGGCGUAAAGCGCGCGUAGGCGGCUACUUAAGUCGGAUGUGAAAGCCCUUGGCUCAACUGAGGAAGUGCACCCGAAACUGAGUGGCUUGAGUACGAAAGAGGGUCACGGAAUUCCCGGUGUAGAGGUGAAAUUCGUAGAUAUCGGGAGGAACACCGGUGGCGAAGGCGGCGACCUGGGUCGAUACUGACGCUGAUGCGCGAAAGCGUGGGGAGCAAACAGG